UAUAUAUCAAAUAAGCAUUUAUCAAACCAUAUAUUAAACAUUAUAAAUCAUAAACACAUAACAUAGAUUCAAUACAAUUACCUACAUCCUUAUCAAGUUAUGUUAUUGUGCUUAUUGUAGUUGAAUGAAACUUUGAAUCCUUCAUUUCACAUUUUUAAGCUAAUUUUUAUGUACUUAAACUUAAUUGAUAAAGAUAAUUUGCUUUGCUUGUUCCACUUAAAAUCUCAAAAAUGUCAGUUCAUGCUUAUUUUAAAUUCUCAUAGCAUAAACUUAAAAAAAUUUCUUAACAAAGGAUUU
rnacentral:lncRNA from 1 species